UAGUUACGCCUUCUCUCUCCCUCCUUGCGUUUUUCUUGGCUAAGACACGCCUGCUGCCUGUGCGUCCGUUGCACCUGCGCAGCUCUCGUCCAGCGUUGUCUCUCUCUCUCUCCACACCCUUCUUUCGCCGGCCUUCGUCACCGCGUUUUUCGCAUCCCGCCGGUGCCGUAAGCGUUGCCGUCGUUUUGUGAUUCGUCUUGUUACUCUGCCACCGUCCCCACGACAGCUGCACGGAGGGAAAACGGCGCACCAGGACAAAGUGCUGCGGUCUUCGACAUACGACGGAACGGCACCCGCUUGUGUAUCGCUGUGUCGCCUGCCAACCAUGCCGCGCGACGACUUUGACCGCCGCCGUCUUCGCGCUCUCUACGAACGCAACCGCCGUCGCGUUUCGGCACUGGCGGACGCCCGUGACCGCCGUCGCGGUGGCGAGGACGACUACGCUGCGCCGCGCCGCUAUGUCGUGAGCGAACGCCGGACCCGAAUCGAGGGCUUUGGCCGUGGUGGCGCUCAGGUGAGCCGCGUGGUGCGGCGCGCGCGUGGUGGCCGCGAUGAGCCGCGCUCGCGCCGGUUCAGCGACCGUGGCAUCUUCCGCCGCAACGUCCGCGAUCGCUUCCGUCGUGUUGAAGAUUUUGAGCGUGAGGAGCGCCGCGAGCGGUUCCGAGAGGUGCGUGCGAGGCGCGGCGACGGACGCCGCGUGGAGGGCCGACGCUUCGGCGAGGCGCGUCGUCUGCGCCUGCGCAUGCGUGGCACCCGCGCUGGUCGUGUUGACCACCGCCGCGCUGAGGUGGACGGGCGUCGCCAGCGCGAGGAACGCGCCAGUGACGGACGCCGCCGCCAGGAGAGUGGGCGUCGGAACAAUAACAACCAGGGCAACCGCGGCGGUAACAAGCAGAGUAGCCUGUCGCGCAACAACAAGCCUCAGCGCAGCCGCGAGCCGCAGAUCACUCGUGAGGAGUUGGACCGUCAGCUGGAGAGCUACCGUAGCUAGAGGAUGACGGACAGUGAGGGAGUGGCAAAAAAGUGGCGUCAAAGGAGCGGGGCGAGAGUAGAAGCGCGAGCCGAGGCUGGCGGUGCUGGAAAACGCGCUUCACCGCCACCGCCCUUCGACAUGGCGCCUUCGCUCUCUCUCUCUCUAUCUUGCUUCAGUCGCGGAGAGCAGUUGCUCUUCUAACAUGGGCAGGAGGCGACGGCACAGGAAAUGGGCGAGCGACGGCUGCGGCCGGGUGGCGUUCGCCUUGUUGUUUCCCACCCCCUCAUCCUCUCUCUCUCCCGGAUCGCGAGACAGCCGUUCAGAGGACCGCCUCGCUGCUCCUAUAAACGAGAAAGGAGGGUGGGUGCAUGCCUUGUUUUGUUUUCUGUUUUGUAUGUUCUUGGCCACGCACACACGCAUACGCGCGUGCCAUCACCACUGGAUGGACGAAGGCGGUGCGGCACGGGGGGAGCGUCGGUGUUGCGCGCUCCCGUGACGUCGGCUGAGCAAAGUGACGAAGGCAGUGCUCGGCCCCCACGGCCUUCUCUCAGUUGCAGGUGGGCGACGGAGCCUGCUGUUGCGUGUCGAAUCGCACGUCGCCGAAUACAUGACGAGGGGAAGGGAGCGUUGGACGCGAAGAGAAGGUGGCGGGUGGACUGGAUCGCCCACCUUCUCGAUGAAAGACAAUCGGCUGACCGGCAAAGGCAACUGAGGUCGAUUCGAGGGCUGCAGAGAGCCGAAAUAGACGUGAAGCGGGAGGAUUGCACGCGGCUCGAUGUCUUCGCUCCAAGCAGCCGCUGCUCUGUCCCCUUUCCUCUGUUGAGUAGCUUGCACGUAUAGCUCUCCCGCUAGCCACGACUUUCUCCAGCUUCGGUCUCCCUCGUUAGUUUUUCGUCCUUAAGGCUGGGCGGAUGGGUGACGAGGGUGGCGCGGGCUGGCGGCGUGCGCAUCGCUGAUGGAAGCGGCACGACGUGGCCUCGUUUCUGCGCACCCGCAGAGUUGGUGCGUGUGAUGAAAGAGCGCUGCUGCUCCAGAUCCCUCGUAGACACACCGCCAAACGGCGUGAAGACGAUCUUUCUGUCUCCCGUGCACCAGUCUGGUUCUUCCGCCACGCCCUGCUCCUCUUGUCACGGCGCAG
rnacentral:misc_RNA from 1 species